AAAAAAAAAAUCUAAGUAGCUUCUCAAACACUCUAAAAGGCUCUCUAAAUUCCCUCAAGCAAGUCAAGAUAUCAUUUCAUCAAUUUGGUCAUCUAAGGGCUCAAGGGUUGAUUUAUCUCCAAAUAUAUUGAUAUGUAAGAAAUGUCACUCUUCCGUCAUUGUUAAUUUGUUAAAAGAACAUAUUUUAAAGUAUUGUUCAUGAGAUAUUCAUGUGGUUUUAUAAAAAGGGUUGAUGGUUUUGAAUGCUUGUUGUUGAACAAUGUUUUCCCAUGGUUUAGAUAUGAUUUUUCUUGCUUUAAUUAUGGUUUUGAACUUGUGGGUGCAUGGGUAUGGUGAAUUAACCAAGGAAUUUUGAUUUUCUCCAAACUUGUGACUUUUGAAGUAGCUAUGACCCUAACCCCAUAAUGUGAAAUUGUUUUUAAUUAUGAGAAAUGUUGAAAUCCAUAAAGUUGAACCAAGGGUUUGUGAAUUUCCAAAAGUGUUGUAAUUGUUUUGGCAUGUUGUUGUUACCUUACAAGUGUAGUUGGUAUGACGAUACCAACAACGUAUACCUAAAUGUGUAUUGAGGUUCAAUGAAUAAGAUUGUGUAAUAAAUGUUUUAAUUGGGCUUUAAUGGGGGUUGUGUAGCUGAGUCGUAAAAGUGGAGGUCUGAGAGACCGAUAUUAGAAAUCGCAUUUGCCAGCAUGGGGAUCAAAGUUACCAGGGAGGUUUGAGUCCUAAUCAUUAUUAUUACAUUAUUAGAGAGGUUCGAGUCCCUCAUAAAUCAUCACAUGAUCGGAUGCUUAAUUCACCUUAUUAUAUGAUUAGGAGGUUCGACCACCCGUGCAUAUAUAUGAGAUUUUUCUCCGGUUUAUAUGGCUACAGGUACUGCAACCCAACUACUAGGUGAGAGCUGGAGUCCAUAUAGCCCAUGGGUACAUAUUAUGAUGGUUGAGCUACAUAAUCUAGGCUAAAGUUUUAAAGGGCAUGUUAAGCCUUGUUCCCUAUCCCGUUAUGUAAUAAAUAUAUGUAUAUACAUUUGAUUAUGCGCAUUAGUUUUCAGUGACUUUGAAUAGUUGACUAUGUCAUUAUGUUAACCUUAUCCUUUAGUUUUAUGCUAGCGCUUCAAUUGCUAACUAUCUUCGGACAUUGUAUCCCCAUGAGAUGCGGAAUUGGUCAUACUUCUUUUCCUUCUGCUUAUAUAUUAGGAUUUGGGAUCAGCUUAUGAGUUGACAUCGAAGUGGUGAGUGGUGAUGUCCAAGAUACACCUCCACUUUGAAGAUGAUAUGGCCACUGAUAAAUAUAGUAACCCAACAAAGGUUAGGUUCGAAUCCCAAAGAAAUAUAUGGAAUCAUUGCUCUCAGCUGUUGUAAUCAACGAUAGGAACUUAAAAAAUAAAUGAGGGUUUUAAGGAGCAAUAUCAAACAGUUGACAAAUAUCAACUUCGGUUGUAAUCAGUUGCAAGUGAACACUUGGACUAUGUUCCUUCUGGUUUCUCAACUCCGUAGACUUAUCAUGCUUUGUUGAACCAACUCGAUGCCUUGCAUGUAGGAUAGAUAAGUGAUGUACCUUCUACAGUUGUUUGGAUGAGUAGAAGGAUUUCACCCUUUACCUUUUAAGUCUUAGGAAGUCACCUUACUAACCUUUAUCUUGAUCCCAAUUAACUAUUACCUUUUGAAUCAGUAGUUAUUAGAUUAAAUUCGACCAUCUUACUUAUCUAUAACCUAGUAGUGUGGAUCGAUAAUUAAACUCCAAAUAACUAUUUUCAUUAUCUUUUCCUAGUUACUACCACUCUUUUGGAGUAAGUAGCAAUAAUCUAGGCAAGAUCCUAAUGUGUAUACCCAUUAAGAAAACAAUUAGCGUGAAGAUAACACAAUGCAUCCAUAGGUAUUGGUUCAAAACGACAAUAGUAGAUAACACAAUGUAUGCAUGGGUAUCGGUUCAAAAUGACAAUAGUACUUCCCUCACUUCAUCAAUCUGCUAGGGUUCCCACAACCCUAGCUAAGGGUUUUUUAUCCAUUCAUGCUUGUGAAGUAAUCAACAACAUUCAUAAUUGAAAGUAUAAGAUGAAAUCACAAUAAUCACAAGUAUAAUUGCUCCAAUAAGUAGACAAAAACACCUUUUUCCUCUUUUCCAUGAACACAGCAUCCAAAAUAAAAGUUUUUGGAAAACAUACCCAAAAAUGGAUCAUAUCUAACAAAACAACCUUAGAAAAUUGCAUAUUUUCCUCGUUUUAAGCAUCAAAGUGAUAUAUUUCUAUAGCACAUCAAUAGCACAUCAACACCAUUAACUUAGAACAUUUGCUUGUCCUUAAGAAAAAAAACAUAACAAAAUAAAAAAAAACUAAACACGAUGCUUAACUAUGAGAAUUUAAGUUAUUCAAGGUAGUCAGUCAACACUUUAAGCUUAUAACACAAUACCCCCUCCUAUCUUAUAUAAAUAUGAAGAACAACAAUGUGAUAUAAUGGGAUCAAGGUAUGGCAUUACAUUUGCACAGACAACCACGCAUAUGUACAAGUUACACUACCAAAACACGUAAGCAGCUAGCAAUAUAACUCAUGUGCCCUCAUAACAAAGACAUCCCACUGACUCAUAUGAAACAAUGCAUGUUAAUGCAGGGACAGUCAAUAGACACUCAUAUUCGAAAGAGAAGUUUUAAUCAAUGUACAUCAAAUACCAUAGGCUUGCACUUAUUUUCUUUACCUUAGCAUUCAGAUAGUCAAGUUUGGAUCACUAUAGCAUUUUUAUCAGCUUGUAAUAUAGGCUUGGGGGAUGUUAUGGUACAUAUGGACCUAUGAAGUGACUAAGCCUCCAUAGAACUAAACUAACCUUGUGGUCUCACUUACUGGCUAGUUUUUUUUAUACCACCCUUGUUUAUCAGUUUUUACUCUUUAUUGCACAUUCAAGUUGGGUGUGGUCUUUUAUUUAUUCUUUCUUUCUUACUUUUAAUCACAACUUUUAUUUCCUUUUUAUUUUGCUACCACACCUAACACUACUAACUUUUUCUCUUGUUUUACCAUUCUACAUACCCACUUUACACUAUACACCCCUAUGAUAGCCACCCUUAGGCAUUUUUCCUAAGUUGAGGUGUGCAAUGUCCAAGGAGAACCAGAGUUAAAACAGGUUCAUUGUAACACAACUGGGAAGGUGAAAUAUGAAAUAAGAAAAAUAGGAUAUAAUGCUCAAAAUGGGGAUCAAGGGAUACUAUUUCACAUAGGGAAGGUCAUUUAGGCUAAAAGUGGUCUAAAAUAAAAAAUGACCUAUAUUUUUUCCUAACCAACUAUUCUUCAACCCAGGAAAGACUAAUAGGCAAUUUUUGAAUUCAACACACAAAGGGAACUAAGUGGCAUCUCACACACACAUGGCUCAGAGUCAACAUUAUAAACUACUACUUAUUUGGUUCAUGCAACUGUUGGCAAGUGAUUAUUAUGUUUCUAAUCUUAAUGCCAUAACAAGAUCCACAAUGUUCACACAUAUAUACAUUCACACAAUUAUAAAAUUCAAAUUUUAUGUGGGGUAUCAAAAGUAAUCAAAACAUGAAAACUACCUUAAAUAGUUUGAAAUUUCCUAAUUACACAAAAAUACAACACAAUAUGAAACAAAACACAAUAUGACAUGAAUUAACCUAGACAUGCAGAUUCUACAACCAUACCGCAAUCGAUAGGAAAAGAAGCACGAUGAUAACACCCUCAAUGGCUAUGGUAUAUCCAACCCCCAAUUAAAAAACUGCAUACAAUCGUCAAUGUGUUAAGAUAAUACAAAACAAAGGGAAGUGAAAACAUACAUGGGACACACUAAGCAUUUGUGUCAUGAGCAUCCCAAGAUGAGGGAAUCUCACUUGGCGGAGGCGAUGGUGGUGGCAGUGCACUACUAGAAGAUACACCUAUUGUUAUCCCGUCAUGCCUUUGCCUCUUAACAAAUGCAUAAUCUAUCGAAUCAUGUAUAGCCAUUUUAACGACCUGGUCAUAUGGCAUAUCCAAAUGCUAUAAGUUUCUUAUGUGACUUUUCUUGGCCCCAACUAUCGGGACCUUCUCAUUAUCUUUUGCAAAAGAAAAUAUCUAGGUACGUGUGGAGGUAAUAUCUAGACCACUAGGGGUAUGACUAUGUUAGUGGCUGCUACAUGGAUUUCUAUAAGAGAGUGUACCUCUGCUCACAAUAUAUCCAUUUCCUCUUUCAUCUAGGCUAGAUUUGGUACCUCUAUCUCUAUAAAUUGGGUUGUAACCUAUCUAUCAAACUCAUUAAGACAUGCCUGUAAGUAAGUACAUAGCUCAAGAAGGGUAGAUCUCUAUACGACCUCCUAUCUAGCUUCUGUCCUAUUAAAUUUAGUCUGAACCCCUAAAUAUAUUACAUCAAAUAGGGUAGUCAUCUCAGUCUCAACAACCCAUAAUUGAGCAUUAGUAUCCCUCUGACUGUCCAUUACGCUCUGCAAAAACUCUUGAGAUAUUGUAAUAAUAUCUAUAGCAGAAGCUGUAGUGGAUGGGAAAGUUAAAAAUAUUCCAAUCGACUCUCAGGUCAAAGUCGGGGCUGAUGAAGAAGUGGAUGAUGUCCUCUCAUCCUGAGUACUCAUAUUUGGGGCCUCUGUCUGUUCCCCUAUCUCAUUAUAAACACUAAUAUCCAUAUCACCUCUAUUUGUAUUACCUGGAUCUAUGGAAAUUGAUGGACCCUCAAUCUAGGCUCGAGGUACUAUGGUAGGCUCACUAGAUCUCUUGAGAAGGCCCGAAUGUCCUAGAUCCAUCAUACUCUUCAUCUGUAUGGUAGCUAUCAUAAGUACCCUCUCAUCUACUCCCGAUAUCUCUAGUACCCAGCCUCGUCACAUAACCUCUGAAUCAGGCAAGGGAAUGGCACCAAGUUCCCUUCCCAAAGUGGGAACAAGUUGAUGCGACCGAUUAAAGAAGAAGGACAACUCGCAAUGGUACUAUGGCUAGUUGGAAAGCCUUUCAAGCCAAUCUCUUGAUUCACAUUCAUAUGAAACCAUUGCAACCGAUCCUGCAUACCAAUCAUCCGCCGCUUAAAGUAAUGGCCAAGGUUUCUAUAGAUUCAGUCCUGUGGAAAAAUGGUGUUGUGGGCAAUUCAGUGUGUAGUGUCACCCCUGGGACACUAGCGAGUCCGUCCCUAAAAAUUAGGUCCAUGAAGCCAGAGUGUUGUCGCACUAAACGACUACCUUCCUUAGAUACUCCAAGCCACAAUCUAUAUUGUCCUUGAACCUAGACCAUGGAAGGUUGGUUAUAGUCCCAUUCUAUUAGUGGGAUCCAUAGCCCGCGGGUCUUUCCCAAGCCAGCAAAGAAGAAGGUAGUCUAGGACUACCCUAAGCCUAGAAGAGAAGUAGGCAGGACUUUCAGUUACAAUGUCUAGGUUGGGCAAGCCGCCUUUCGCCUUUCUAAAGCCAAUCGAUUAUCGGAUUUCACCAAGCUAACUACCACUACCUGGGAAUUUAUAGAUCCGCUCUAAGAUAGCAUUAAGAUUCCAAACUCCAUGAAAGCAGGAGAUUUAUUAGCUAUAGUCAAAUCUCGUGACGGUGAUCAAAGAGCAUUAGCUACGAUACUACAACCUCUGCUCCUGACCCCCAGAUCGAAACGUUACGAUUCACUCCGGUGCUGCUUGCUGGUGGAGGUUGGGAGUAUCUCAACUAUGAAUAAGAAGUCGAAGAAGCCCUAGAUCCGCCUCUUACUUACCUACCUUCCCAGACUAGCUAGUCAGGGCGAAGCAUUCGUCAGCAUUAGUAGUUUUGGCACGAUAGACUCAUGAGAUGUGACCUCAUGAUGGGUCGGUGGGAAUGGCUCGUGAUCGUGCAUUCAAUCAAUUUCCCUUGGAAACAUUGGAAAUGAUGGUCAAGGUUUGCCGUAAAUAAAUAGAUGAGUUCGAUUCAAGUAUCCAAACAAGAAUACGGUUCAGAUACCCCAAACAAGAAGCCACUUAGGAUUUUUGCUUUUUCUAUCCCGGAGGGAGGGUCUCAUGACAACGCCUUUCUCUGCGGUCUCUAUUCGUAGGAAUAGAAUCAUCCAAGUAAUUGUGUCUAUCACUGAAGGCAGUCAAGAGUCACUCAGGGCUAUUGUACUUGUACUACUCAGCUGUUAUAGUCCAUUAGAGUGUUUGAAAUCCCUGAAUCCUGACUCUGUACGGAGCAGUAGGCUUGAGUUAUAGUCCGUAUCCCGUACUACUUGUCUGGAGUAGGAAAGAGUGUGAUCUCAGUUUCCUAUCAAGUCAAAGGGAGACCACGAGGGUCUUCCUUAUGGUUCGCUAUAGUCUAUUAAUAAUUAAUAUGUCUAAUAAUCCUUCUUGUCCGGUAAGCAAAAGCAAGCAAGGGAGCCUCUGGCUUCGUCCCUUCAUCUCGCCACAACACAAGCUGUGGUAUAAUCUGUCUAUACCUCACUCGGUUCAGUAAGAUAAAGAUAUGGUUUGAUGUGUGAGGCCUCUCUUCACUAACUAAAGUCGCUUCCUCGUGAACUCCGUUAACUAGGCACCCCUCUCCAAGUAGUCAGUCUAUUCUCUCGUGGAGAAAGCCUUACUCUCGUUUCGUUCGAACGUAGCCCGCAGGAGUCAAGGGGUUGUAGGGGCGACUUCCAGAGAUAAUUACGGCGAGGGAAGAUGAAUAGCAUUCUUCCUUCGCAAAUACCGACUUCACCAACCCCUAACCCGGCUAAAUAGUUUGAUGCCUGCAUUUAAACUAACUCACCAUAUGUUAGUAUGCUAGUGUGCGGCUGAGAAAGUAUAUAAAGUAUAUAGAGGGAAAAGGUUUUCAAAAAGCCAUUCUCGGUGACGACAUUGUUAUCGUCGACGAAAAGGUUACAAACGUGUAUACGGCCCCCUGAUAGGACUGUGACCUAACUAUGACCUAACUAUAUCGGUCAAAAAGUAGCUAGUCUCUGACAAAGGUGCUCUUGAGUUCGCUAAGCCAUUUAUAUGCGAUGAAGGUGGAACGGAUUUAUCUCUAAUCUCCUUUCGCCCGUUCACUCAAUACUCAGUAGCAGCUCCCGUAUUCGCGAUUCGCGAGGGUUGAAAAUGGAUUUCAAACAAUAUGAACAACAAUAACUCGACAUUCUCAAGUUCACCAAUUGAACAAGUCCGGCAUAUCGUCGCAAAGUAGUACACUCAAGUGGACUCCACCUAAUGGACGGAUACAGAGAUAGUAUCCAGAAAGAUCUUGGGAUUACAUUCGUCAAACCAAAUAUCUUUAGCAGUCGCAAAAGAGGUGACGGGGCUCAAAGGAAGUAAACAAGUCAUCCUUUGAAGCUAAGCACUUUUCAUCUUUUGUAGGAAAAUCCCCUUCUCUAGUCUUGGGAAAUUGAGCGACCCAUCCACAUAAGCACAAGAAUUUUUUUCCCGAGCAAAUCAUUCUUCAUCGCAUAAGCCCAUGACAAGUCAUUUCCAGAUGCUUCUUUCAGAAGAGCACGGGAAAAACCUAUGGAAUCCAUUGUACUAAGAACUAAGACCCAAAAGAUCAUCUAAGGACUGAAAAUCGGGACUCAAAACUAGUUAAGAAGGCUUAAGCUUAACUCAAGCAAUCACUCAAGAGAAGCCGGA
rnacentral:lncRNA from 1 species